rnacentral:rRNA from 1 species
AUGGAUGCCAGUAUUAGUGUUUCUCUGGGUGCCAUGAGACCCCUUCUUAAGAAGCUUCACAUGAUGCUAGGUCCUGAUGGAUGCAAGCUGACCAAGGGGGUCAAUGAUAGGUCACAACUCCUCAAAGAUGAUCUUAAAGAAAUAUGCGCAUACCUUGAAGAUCUGAUAGAGGUGGAGGACCCUCCCCUGGCGGCCAAGUGCUGGAUGAAAGAGGCACAGGAGUUAUCUUAUGACAUCCAAGAUUGUAUUGACAACUUUGUGCCCCCUGAGUCUCUUGGCUAUAAAUCUGACCACAAGAUGACUCAUGUUAAGAUUCCCAAGAGGCUCAAGUGGCAGAAACAUAUUGAAUAUGCAGCUCCUGAUGUGUCAGGACAUUUUAUCUCCAAAACCAUUUGUGCUGAUGUCAUUCGUGCUCCCAGGAAGCUCAAGUGGUACCAACAGAUGGUUGAAAAGGUAUCAGAAUUCAGGAUCUAUGCCGGGGAGGCAAUCCAACGGUAUGAGAGGUACCAGCUCCAUUGUUGUAGCACCUCGGCGGCACGUAGAUUUUCAGCCAUUGGGCCUAUGAUGCCAAUGCUGCCACUGCCCCGUGAGAAAACUUGUUCCGGCCUAGUAAUUGAUGCUCGGAUGAGCAACUUUAUCAACUCUUUGUUUAACGACGCGGAUCAACAGCUCAAGGUAGUGUCUAUUCAUGGAUCUGGGUGUCUUGGGAAAACAGUGCUUGCCAAAGUGUUGUACAAUAAAAUUGGGAGGAAAUUCCAUUGUCGGGCUUUCGUCCGGGUGUCCAAAAAGCCUGAUAUGAAGAGGCUUUUCUGCGACAUGAUAUCACAAUUCCAGCGGAAGCAACCCCAAGCAAGCCAAGACGCUUCCGAUGAAUUUCGCGUUACUGCUGAAAAUAUCAGGAAUUAUCUACAUGGCAAGAGAUAUCUACUUGUUGUUGAUGAUUUAUGGGAUACAGCAGCAUGGGAUGUUAUUAAUCAGCUUUUGCCCAAGUGUAGUCAAGGAAGCAGAAUAAUACCUCAGCAUUGA